AAUGCGUAGGAAUCUACCUAGUAGUACGGAAUAGCCAUUAGAAAUGGUGGGUAAUACUGUAUAAUCCCCGAGGGGGAAAGAUUUAUCGCUAUUAGAUGAGCCUACGUUAGAUUAGCUAGUUGGUGAGGUAAUGGCUUACCAAGGCUAUGAUCUAUAGCUGGUCUGAGAGGACGAUCAGCCACACUGGAACUGAGAUACGGUCCAGACUCCUACGGGAGGCAGCAGUGGGGAAUAUUGGACAAUGGGCGAAAGCCUGAUCCAGCU
rnacentral:rRNA from 1 species